CGCCUCAUGCAGAGCUUUAAGGAGUCGCACUCGCACGAGUCUCUGCUGUCUCCCAGCAGCGCGGCCGAGGCGCUGGACCUCACGCUGGACGAGGACGCCGUCAUCAAGCCCGUGCACUCCAGCAUCCUCGGCCAGGAGUACUGCUUCGAGGUGACGACGGCGUCCGGCACCAAGUGUUUCGCGUGUCGCUCCGCCGCCGAGAGGGACAAGUGGAUCGAGAACCUGCAGCGGGCCAUCAAACCCAACAAGGAUAACAGCCGCCGUGUGGAUAACGUGCUGAAGCUAUGGAUCAUCGAGGCGCGCGACCUGCCGGCUAAGAAGCGCUACUACUGCGAGCUGUGUCUGGACGACAUGCUGUACGCGCGCACCACUAGCAAACCGCGCACCGACACCGUGUUCUGGGGCGAACACUUCGAGUUCAACAACCUGCCGGCCAUCCGGAGCCUGAGACUGCACCUGUACAAGGAGACCGACAAGAAGAGGCGGAAGGAGAAGAGUACAUAUCUGGGUCUGGUCAGCAUCCCGAUCCCCAGCCUCACGGGCCGCCAGUUCGUGGAGCAGUGGUACCCGGUGCUCCAGCCCAGCGCUCUGGCUAAAGGCUCCGGCGGCGGCAAGAUCAUCAACGCUUCGCUGCGACUCAAGUCUCGAUACCAGAGCAUGAACAUCCUGCCCAUGGAGCUCUACAAGGAGUUUGCAGAGUACGUGACCAACAACUACAGGACGCUGUGUGGAGUUCUGGAGCCGCUGCUGAGCGCCAAGAGCAAAGAGGAGGUGGCGUGUGCGCUGGUGCACAUCCUGCAGAGCACUGGCAAGGCCAAGGACUUCCUGUCAGAUAUGGCCAUGACUGAGGUUGAUCGCUUCAUGGACCGAGAGCAUCUGAUCUUCAGAGAAAACACACUGGCAACCAAAGCCAUCGAGGAGUUCCUGAAGCUCAUAGCGCAUCGAUACCUGAAGGACACCAUUGGAGAGUUUAUCCGAGCGCUGUACGAGUCUGAGGAGAACUGUGAGGUGGACCCCAUGCGAACGCCUCCCUCGGUCCUGUCGGAUCAUCAGGCAAACCUGCGCAUGUGUUGUGAACUGGCGCUCUGCAAGAUCAUCAACUCCCAUUGUGUGUUUCCCCGCGAGCUGAAGGAGGUGUUCGCCUCGUGGCGUGUGCGCUGUGCUGAACGCGGGCGUGAGGACAUCGCUGACCGCCUCAUAAGCUCCUCCCUCUUCCUGCGGUUCCUGUGUCCCGCCAUCAUGUCGCCGUCGCUGUUCAACAUGACGCAGGAGUAUCCGUCCGAACGCACCUCGCGAACACUCACGCUCAUCGCCAAGGUGGUGCAGAGCCUGGCCAGCUUUUCAAAGUUCAGUGGGAAGGAGGACUACCUGGGCUUCAUGAACGAGUUCCUGGAGAUGGAGUGGGGCUCUAUGCAACAGUUCCUGUAUGAGAUCUCCAACCUGGAGUGUGUGAGUAACGCCGGGGCGUUCGAGGGCUACAUCGACCUGGGCCGAGAGCUGUCCAUCCUGCACAGUCUCCUGUGGGAGGUCAUGGCGCAGCUGAGCAAGGACGCCAUAUUGAAGCUGGGCCCGUUGCCGCGGUUACUGAAUGACAUCAGCAUGGCGCUGAGGAACCCACAGCUGCACCGACAGGCGAGUCACCAGCCGCCGGACCGACACCAGAGCCGACCCGCAUUCAGCAGACUCAACACCAACGACUUCCAGAGCCUCAUGAUGAGAGACCUCAACAGUUCUAUAGACAUCUCUCGUCUGCCGUCUCCCACUGGCACUGGUGUUCUCUCUCACCCUGGAAUGGCUGCUUUCUCCGACCGGGAUCCCCGCGGCAACAAGGAAAUGUUCUACGUGACCCGCCCACCUCUCGCUCGCUCAAGCCCCGCCUACUGCACUAGCAGCUCUGACAUCACUGAACCUGACCCGAAGGUUCUCAGUGUGAAUAAGAGUGUUUCUAUGAUGGACCUGCAGGAUUCGCGCAUCAACAGCGUGUCGAACCUGCACUCGGUGAACGACCUGCUGAACUCGUCUCAGGGCUCCCUGGCGGGCCUGGGGUUCGGUCCGCUGGGUGGCGCCCCCCUCAGGGCGGGAGGACGCGUGUCGGCGGGCUCGGGCGGCUCCAGCAUGUCGGGGGGGCUGCGUCUCAGCCACUCGGGCCUGACGACGGACUCGCUGUCUCAGCAGCAGCAGCAGCAAGCGGCCGCCAUGAACGUGCCUCUGUCCUUCCAGAACCCGCUGUUCCACCUGGCGUCGGACGGGCCGCAGUACCACACGCCGCCACACGGGCCCGCCGCCCCGCCGCCGCUGCUGCUAGCGCCCGAGCCGGAGAACGGGCACGUGGGCUACGGCGUGCCGUCGUUCGGGCACAGCGGGUUCUCUCGCAGCGAGGAUCUGUCGGCCCUGAGGAACCAGAACAGUCUGGUGCAGCCCAACAUCGUGCACUCGCACAGCUACAGCGACGACUUCACGCGGCACAAUCAGGCCGACUACGCGCGCAGACAGCUGUCGCUGCAGGUGCAGGAGAAUCUCCAGCAGCAGGUUCUGAUGGGCAUCGCCGCACAGACAGCAACGGGCACCGGCACGCCCGCCUCUCUGGCCACGCCCCCAACCACCAUUCACCCCGCCCGCCAGGCCUCCAUGGGCCCGCCCCCUCCUCAGCGCAUGAAGCCUCAGCCCCCCCACCAGCUGUCCGUCAGCUCGGCCGCUAACUCCACCCCCCCGAAGACACGCCCCCAGAGCGGGAACCUGCUGCAGUCGCCCGAGUCCAGCUACGGUGGGAGGCAGUUGCCCAGGCAACAGCUGUCCGUCAAAGAUAGCCCCGCCCCCGGGCUGCCGCAUCAGUCCAGCACGGCUGCGGAGAGCCCCGCCCCUCAGGGCGGAGCCAAUGACAGCGCAGAGAACACACCGAGCGGCCAAUCAGCAAAAGCCUCGCAGCAAACCAACCAGCAGCAUCUGCUCAAGCCAGGCGCGAACAAACAGGGCUCGAAGUCUCCGUCUACGCUCAACCCCCCCACUGCUGCGUCGGAGCGUACGGUGGCCUGGGUGUCCAACAUGCCUCACCUCUCCGCGGACAUCGAGAGCCUGCGUGUGGACCGAGAGGAGUUCAAGCUGAAGGAGCACUCCAAGAGCAUGGACGAGUCCCGCCUGGACCGGGUGCGCGAGUACGAGGAGGAGAUCCACUCGCUGAAGGAGCGGCUGCUGAUGUCACACAGGAAGCUGGAGGAGUACGAGCGUCGGCUGCAGUCGCAGGAGCAUCAGACCAGUAAGAUCCUGCUGCAGUACCAGAGCCGGCUGGACGACAGCGAGAGGAGGCUCCGGCAGCAGCAGGCGCAGAAGGACUCGCAGAUCAAGGGCAUCAUCAACAGGCUGAUGGCGGUAGAGGAUGAGCUGAGAGGGAGUGGAAUGCCUGACCUCAAAACCAGAUUGUUCACAGAACAGCCGAUAUAUGGGGCCCACUCUGGAACAUGAUUGGCCCGGGCAGGACUAGAGGACACGUGAUUGGUUGAACCUCAACCCAGGAGUGUCUGACGAUUGGCUGGGAGAGAAGAGAGGCGGAGCCUGAGCAGGACGACCGACUCUACAGUCUUUCUUUCUCUCCUUCUCUCUCUCUCUCUCUCAAACACACGCUGAGAGAAUAUAUAUAUGUAUAUAGAUGAUAUAUAAAUAUAUAUUUCUCAGAUGUGUCUCUCUCUCUCUUGCUGUCUUUGUCUUUUUUGAGCCAAAUGGACGACAAUCAGCACCUCGAGGCCGAAACAAUCACACCGAUAGCACAAAGAAAAUCAUCGCAGACGGAGAGAGAGAGACAGCACUCGUUCUCUUCCCAUCACCUCUCUCUCUCUCUUCUGCAGGAGUGUGUGUGUGUGUGUGUGUGUGUGUGUGUGUUUGUGUAAGAGAGAGAGAGAGUGUGUGUAUGUGUGAGAGAGAGUGUGUCCUGAUCAUCAACUCUUCAGUCGACCGUCUGCGGCUCACUGGGUCUGAGAACAGCGAUUGCUCUUCAUUCACACACUCUCACACACACACACUCACUCUCACACACACACACACACACUGACGGGCUGCUGAUUUCUGUACAUAGAGUCCAGAUUGAAAGUUUCUCUUAUUUUAAGUGGGUUGAGUUUUUCUCUUUUCUUGGUGUUUGGUGGAUGAUACUCAUAUACGCCAGUCGCUGCUGGGCCUUUAGUCACUUACUUUCGUCUUUAUUUACCUUUUCUGUUGGAAGUAUUACUUUGGUCUGCAUUUCAGGUAAUAAUAGUUAUGAAAAAACGAUGAUAAUGAACAGUGUUUCUGUGCCUACAGUUCCCAUACCGAGCUCUGAUUGGCUGAACACGAGCACGUUUCGCCAGUGAGACGCUCUGAUUGGCUGAACACGAGCACGUGUCGCCAGUGAGGCGCUCUGAUUGGCUGAACACGAGCACGUGUCGGCAGUGAGGCGCUCUGAUUGGCUGAACACGAGCACGUGUCGGCAGUGAGGCGCUCUGAUUGGC